rnacentral:rRNA from 1 species
AACGAACGCUGGCGGCAGGCUUAACACAUGCAAGUCGAACGGGUGUAGCAAUACAUCAGUGGCAGACGGGUGAGUAACACGUGGGAACCCUCCUAGAGGUACGGAACAACUCAGGGAAACUUGAGCUAAUACCGUAUACGCUCGUGAGAGGAAAGAUUUAUCGCCUUUAGACGGGCCCGCGUCGGAUUAGCUAGUUGGUGGGGUAACGGCCUACCAAGGCGACGAUCCGUAGCUGAUCUGAGAGGAUGAUCAGCCACACUGGAACUGAGACACGGUCCAGACUCCUACGGGAGGCAGCAGUGGGGAAUCUUGGACAAUGGGCGCAAGCUUGAUCCAGCCAUGCCGCGUGAGUGAAGAAGGCCUUCGGGUUGUAAAGCUCUUUUGUCAGGGACGAUAAUGACGGUAGCGUGAGAAGAAGCCCCGGCUAACUUCGUGCCAGCAGCCGCCGUAA